GCCUGGGUGGCUCAGUGGUUGAGCAUCUGCCUUCGGCUCAGGUCAUGAUCCCAGAGUCCUGGGAUCGAGUCCCGCCUCAGGCU
rnacentral:tRNA from 1 species